GACGAACGCUGGCGGCGUGCUUAACACAUGCAAGUCGAACGGAAAGGCCCUGCUUUUGUGGGGUGCUCGAGUGGCGAACGGGUGAGUAACACGUGAGUAACCUGCCCUUGACUUUGGGAUAACUUCAGGAAACUGGGGCUAAUACCGGAUAGGAGCUCCUGCUGCAUGGUGGGGGUUGGAAAGUUUCGGCGGUUGGGGAUGGACUCGCGGCUUAUCAGCUUGUUGGUGGGGUAGUGGCUUACCAAGGCUUUGACGGGUAGCCGGCCUGAGAGGGUGACAGGCCACAUUGGGACUGAGAUACGGCCCAGACUCCUACGGGAGGCAGCAGUGGGGAAUAUUGCACAAUGGGCGGAAGCCUGAUGCAGCAACGCCGCGUGCGGGAUGACGGCCUUCGGGUUGUAAACCGCUUUCGCCUGUGACGAAGCGUGAGUGACGGUAAUGGGUAAAGAAGCACCGGCUAACUACGUG
rnacentral:rRNA from 1 species